CUGACUGGGAAAAUGCCCUUCCACACAGAGAGAGAGCAGUGGUUGGACUUUUAUCGUGUGUGUCCUCUUAUGCUCCUUCAGGCUCCUUAACCAGAUAUCUUGUACAGUGGAAACCCUUGAGCCUCUGCCUCAUCCACAUCAGCAAUAACUCAUUACACCUACUCCAGGUGUGUGGUGGGCUGCUGCAUGUACCCGUUCUUCAAGAAUGACUUUAUGGACACAGUCUACCACUGUCCUACCCGCAACGAUGUUCUGGCUAUAAUAAAGAAGUGAAGUGUGGCGCAGAUAUGGACCGGUGCAAUGUAGCCGGUUCCUAUCACCCUAUAAAACAUAAAGUUUGACAUGUGCCUAUUCAACAUUUUAUUCCUUUGAACAUGUGUAAAUAAAAGACUGA